UACGAAGGGGGCUAGCGUUGUUCGGAAUUACUGGGCGUAAAGCGCGCGCAGGCGGUCUUCCAAGUCAGUGGUGAAAGCCCGGAGCUCAACUCCGGAACUGCCAUUGAAACUGUGAGACUUGAGUAUGAGAGAGGUGAGUGGAAUUCCCAGUGUAGAGGUGAAAUUCGUAGAUAUUGGGAAGAACACCCGUGGCGAAGGCGGCUCUCUGGGACGGUACUGACGCUGAGACGCGAAAGCGUGGGGAGCGAACAGG
rnacentral:rRNA from 1 species